UACGAAGGUCCCGAGCGUUGUUCGGAAUCACUGGGCGUAAAGGGAGCGUAGGCGGCGUGGUAAGUCAGACGUGAAAUCCCGGGGCUCAACCCCGGAACUGCGUCCGAUACUGCCGUGCUUUGAGGGUUGGAGAGGUAGCUGGAAUUCUUGGUGUAGCAGUGAAAUGCGUGGAUAUCAAGAGGAACACUCGUGGCGAAAGCGAGCUACUGGACAACACCUGACGCUGAGGCUCGAAGGCCAGGGGAGCGAAAGGG
rnacentral:rRNA from 2 species